GACGAACGCUGGCGGCGUGCUUAACACAUGCAAGUCGAACGGAAAGGCCCUGCUUUUGUGGGGUGCUCGAGUGGCGAACGGGUGAGUAACACGUGAGUAACCUGCCCUUGACUUUGGGAUAACUUCAGGAAACUGGGGCUAAUACCGGAUAGGAGCUCCUGCUGCAUGGUGGGGGUUGGAAAGUUUCGGCGGUUGGGGAUGGACUCGCGGCUUAUCAGCUUGUUGGUGGGGUAGUGGCUUACCAAGGCUUUGACGGGUAGCCGGCCUGAGAGGGUGACCGGCCACAUUGGGACGGGGAUCCGGCCCAGACUCCUACGGGAGGCAGCAGUGGGGAAUAUUGCACAAUGGGCGGAAGCCGGAUGCAGCAACGCCGCGGGCGGGAUGACGGCCUUGGGGUUGUAAACCGCUUUCGCCUGUGACGAAGCGGGAGUGACGGUAAUGGGUAAAGAAGCACCGGCGAACUACGG
rnacentral:rRNA from 1 species